AGUGAACGCUGGCGGUAGGCCUAACACAUGCAAGUCGAACGGCAGCACAGUAAGAGCUUGCUCUUACGGGUGGCGAGUGGCGGACGGGUGAGGAAUACAUCGGAAUCUACUUUUUCGUGGGGGAUAACGUAGGGAAACUUACGCUAAUACCGCAUACGACCUACGGGUGAAAGCAGGGGAUCUUCGGACCUUGCGCGUUUGAAUGAGCCGAUGUCGGAUUAGCUAGUUGGCGGGGUAAAGGCCCACCAAGGCGACGAUCCGUAGCUGGUCUGAGAGGAUGAUCAGCCACACUGGAACUGAGACACGGUCCAGACUCCUACGGGAGGCAGCAGUGGGGAAUAUUGGACAAUGGGCGCAAGCCUGAUCCAGCCAUACCGCGUGGGUGAAGAAGGCCUUCGGGUUGUAAAGCCCUUUUGUUGGGAAAGAAAAGCAGCAGGUUAAUACCCCACUGUUCUGACGGUACCCAAAGAAUAAGCACCGGCUAACUUCGUG
rnacentral:rRNA from 1 species